CCAGCUUUGAAUGCUUUCUCCUCUCAUCUCCGAACAUGUACACGGAGAAGGCUCUUCAUUGGCAUGAGGACUUCCGAUCUCGAUUUAAAAGAUGAUCCAGAAUAAAGGUAAAUUGUAACAGGCCCUCUCUGCCUAACGCCCUGGGGAUACAGUAAGAUGACAAUAUAUCAAACAACACAGACAUGGCCAAUUGUUGGAAGUGAAGAGCCACCCUUGGACAAUACCUGUCUGUGAGAUUGAAGUGAGUGUCUCGGAUCCCUGUGAUGCUCCAAGGAGGCAUUGUCUGUUUCUUGCAAUAUCAUGCCCAAGUGAUGGAUAUUGGUUUUUCCCCAUUGACUUGAGAAGUGAAAGACCAUAUUUCUUCCAAGUUUCUAAAAGCCAGCCCAUAUGUGGGAAAAACAUAGUUUUCUAACUGCACUUUGCAAACUGACAAACUGAAGUCUGAUUCACCAAUCUUCCUACACCAUCACCUUCCAAUGUAGAUUUAGUCAAGAAGAAGUUUAUUUAUAAAAUAAAUCAGAACAAUGAAAA